CACAAAUAUUAUAAUUAAAUUUUUUUAAUGAAAGUUAAAAUAAAAAAGAUAAAAAAGAAAAAUAAAUUUUUAAGUAAAAUUUAAAUUUUAUUUAAAAUUUUUAUAUAUAAAAUUUUUGAAGCUUAGAAAAUUUAAUUUUUAAACUA
rnacentral:rRNA from 1 species